GUGCUAGCGUAUCUAGUGUAUGUGUAUCUGUGGUCGGCACGUCUGGUAGCAUCUCUGGCUGCUGUUGACCUUGUUUUUGGAGUAAAACACGGUGGAAGCUGAAUUAGUGAGGAUGACUCCUGCUCCUGUCAUCUCUAAGCUCCUCACACAUCUUUACCUGCACAUGAGGAAAAUCACUCCUGUAGAAUGCAGAUGUUCAGAGGGAGAUGAUGCCACAUCUGGUCCAGCUGAUGGAAGGUCUUGAAGUUCUCUGACUGGCCUCGACUGAAGAUGGUCGUCUCACUGGAUUUAAGGUUCAGAAAUCAAAUAUUCUAUAAAAUGUAAAUACACUGAACUCAUUUGGAUAUAUUUAAGUGAGACUCUACAAUAUUAUUUGACACAAAUCUAUGUAAAUGAAAAUUUUAAUAAUUUUCACGCCAAACAUUUACUGGACUGAUUUAAGUAUUAAAAUCACUCCUUUCUAAUCCUCUGCUGUACGUUCAAACCUGAGGCCUUAAAUAGAAACACACAAGUAUCUGAUUGAAGGAACUUCUGCAGAGUCCUGGUUCCAGAAUAUGAUGAUAGAAUUAUAGACAAACUUUAACAAAAGCUGCCUGAGAGUUUACAGGUUUUUAUGUUGGAUUUCUAUAGUAAUUUAAUGAGAGUUAUCAGCAAAAAUCAAGUGUUCAUUUGAUGAACUUCAUUUCCUAAAACAUACAGAAUUGGAGCUCAUAUCUUUGGCAGCUGUAAAGUUUCUGCUCCUUCAAAGUUCACAACACAAUGAAUGAAUUCCUAAAACACUCUCAAUGCUGGAGAGCGUUUGUGAUGCUGAAGCAGUGACCAGUUUUUCUGUUUCUUCUCUGGAGAUGCACAAUGAGGGACGUCUACAGAGACUGAGAAAGAGUCUCACCACAUCCUGACAUGAGGAAAAAGACUUUAUUGAAGACUACAAUGAGAAAAACUAUCAGACAGCAGACGGCUGCAUUCAAGUCUGUAGCUGCUGAAUUCAUGGAUGAAUCAUCUGGCACUAGAGAAGAAGACCAUCAAACAUCCACGUCAGCUGAUGGAGGUCCAAGAGUCUCACC
ensembl:lncRNA